rnacentral:rRNA from 1 species
UAGGGAAUCUUCGGCAAUGGGGGCAACCCUGACCGAGCAACGCCGCGUGAGUGAAGAAGGUUUUCGGAUCGUAAAGCUCUGUUGUAAGAGAAGAACGUGUGUGAGAGUGGAAAGUUCACACAGUGACGGUAACUUACCAGAAAGGGACGGCUAACUACGUGCCAGCAGCCGCGGUAAUACGUAGGUCCCGAGCGUUGUCCGGAUUUAUUGGGCGUAAAGCGAGCGCAGGCGGUUUAAUAAGUCUGAAGUUAAAGGCAGUGGCUUAACCAUUGUUCGCUUUGGAAACUGUUAGACUUGAGUGCAGAAGGGGAGAGUGGAAUUCCAUGUGUAGCGGUGAAAUGCGUAGAUAU